rnacentral:rRNA from 1 species
CGCGGGAUUCACGGAUCCAGAGUUUGAUCCUGGCUGAGGACGAACGCUGGCGGCGUGCCUAAUACAUGCAAGUAGAACGCUGAAGANAGGAGCUUGCUCUUCUUGGAUGAGUUGCGAACGGGUGAGUAACGCGUAGGUAACCUGCCUUGUAGCGGGGGAUAACUAUUGGAAACGAUAGCUAAUACCGCAUAACAAUGGAUGACACAUGUCAUUUAUUUGAAAGGGGCAAUUGCUCCACUACAAGAUGGACCUGCGUUGUAUUAGCUAGUAGGUGAGGUAACGGCUCACCUAGGCGACGAUACAUAGCCGACCUGAGAGGGUGAUCGGCCACACUGGGACUGAGACACGGCCCAGACUCCUACGGGAGGCAGCAGUAGGGAAUCUUCGGCAAUGGGGGCAACCCUGACCGAGCAACGCCGCGUGAGUGAAGAAGGUUUUCGGAUCGUAAAGCUCUGUUGUAAGUCAAGAACGAGUGUGAGAGUGGAAAGUUCACACUGUGACGGUAGCUUACCAGAAAGGGACGGCUAACUACGUGCCAGCAGCCGCGGUAAUACGUAGGUCCCGAGCGUUGUCCGGAUUUAUUGGGCGUAAAGCGAGCGCAGGCGGUUUGAUAAGUCUGAAGUUAAAGGCUGUGGCUCAACCAUAGUUCGCUUUGGAAACCGUCAAACUUGAGUUCAGAAGGGGAGAGUGGAAUUCCAUGUGUAGCGGUGAAAUGCGCAGAUAUAUGGAGGAACACCGGUGGCGAAAGCGGCUCUCUGGUCUGUAACUGACGCUGAGGCUCGAAAGCGUGGGGAGCGAACAGGAUUAGAUACCCUGGUAGUCCACGCCGUAAACGAUGAGUGCUAGGUGUUGGAUCCUUUCCGGGAUUCAGUGCCGCAGCUAACGCAUUAAGCACUCCGCCUGGGGAGUACGACCGCAAGGUUGAAACUCAAAGGAAUUGACGGGGGCCCGCACAAGCGGUGGAGCAUGUGGUUUAAUUCGAAGCAACGSRARGAACCUUACCAGGUCUUGACAUCCCGAUGCUAUUUCUAGAGAUAGAUAGUUACUUCGGUACAUCGGUGACAGGUGGUGMAUGGUUGUCGUCAGCUCGUGUCGUGARAUGUUGGUUAAUYCG